rnacentral:rRNA from 1 species
UACAGAGACUGCAAGCGUUAUUCGGAUUCACUGGGCGUAAAGGUGCGCAGGCGGUUGUGUGUGUCAGGUGUGAAAGCCCGGGGCUUAACCCCGGAAUUGCGCCUGAAACUACAUGACUAGAGCAUUGGAGAGGGUAGCGGAAUUCACGGUGUAGCAGUGAAAUGCGUAGAUAUCGUGAGGAACACCAGAGGCGAAGGCGGCUACCUGGACAAUUGCUGACGCUCAGGCACGAAAGCGUGGGGAGCAAAAGGG